GACGAACGCUGGCGGCGUGCUUAACACAUGCAAGUCGAACGAAGAGCGAUGGAAGCUUGCUUCUAUCAAUCUUAGUGGCGAACGGGUGAGUAACGCGUAAUCAACCUGCCCUUCAGAGGGGGACAACAGUUGGAAACGACUGCUAAUACCGCAUACGAUCCAAUCUCGGCAUCGGGACUGGAUGAAAGGUGGCCUCUAUUUAUAAGCUAUCACUGAAGGAGGGGAUUGCGUCUGAUUAGCUAGUUGGAGGGGUAACGGCCCACCAAGGCGAUGAUCAGUAGCCGGUCGGAGAGGAUGAACGGCCACAUUGGGACUGAGACACGGCCCAGACUCCUACGGGAGGCAGCAGUGGGGAAUCUUCCGCAAUGGACGAAAGUCUGACGGAGCAACGCCGCGUGAGUGAUGACGGCCUUCGGGUUGUAAAGCUCUGUUAAUCGGGACGAAUGGUUCUUGUGCGAAUAGUGCGAGGAUUUGACGGUACCGGAAUAGAAAGCCACGGCUAACUACGUG
rnacentral:rRNA from 1 species